CAAGGUGAUCCGACGUGUGCCACCACGUAGUUCGUCAUGUUGGACGAAUGGAGUCAUUUUGUGUCAUAUCGAACUCCGAUUUGGCUGCUAGUUUUUUCGAAAUAUGAGCUUCAACUAUUUUAUCAUUUCGGUGAGUACAGAAUCAUUAUUAGACUGUCAUAUUGAUAGAACGAUUCGAUAUUGGAUGUCAGUGUCAGACGUCGUUUCGAAAAAAUGAUUCGACACCGGACGAUAUGAUUCUGACAAAUAGAUCUUUACCACAUGUCCAAAUGUCACUGGGUCG
rnacentral:lncRNA from 1 species